rnacentral:rRNA from 1 species
AUGAAACCUGACCCUGCUUUUGCUACUUCACCUAUUUGUGUUACUGAUAAGGAUUAUGAAUUCUCUGUUGAUCCUGAGAUUAUUACUUUGGUUGAAUCUAAUCCUUUUUAUGGCCUUGAAUCUGAAGCUGUUGUGGCACAUCUUACCAAGUUGAAUGAUAUAGCCACCCUGUUUACUUAUGAUGAUAAAUCUCGCUAUUAUUAUAUCCUCAAGAUAUUUCCGUUCUUGUUAAAGGGUGAUGCUAAGACUUGGUAUAAUUCUCUUGCUCCUAGUUGUGUGCGUAGUCCCCAGGAUAUGAUUUAUUACUUCUCUGCUAAAUAUCUCCCUGCUCAUAAGAAACAAGCUGCCUUGCAGGAAAUAUAUAAUUUUGUGCAAAUCAAAGAAGAGAGUCUCCCACAAGCUUGGGGGAGGCUUAUCCGAUUACUUAAUGCUUUGCCUGAUCAUCCUCUCAAGAAAAAUGAAAUACUUGAUAUCUUUUAUAAUGGACUAACCGAUGCUUCCAAGGACUACUUGGAUAGUUGUGUUGGUUGUGUUUUUAGGGAAAGAACAGUCGACGAAGCUUAA